rnacentral:rRNA from 1 species
CAGCCGCCACGGUAAUACGGAGGAUCCAAGCGUUAUCCGGAAUCAUUGGGUUUAAAGGGUCCGUAGGCGGUCUUGUAAGUCAGUGGUGAAAUCCCAUCGCUCAACGGUGGAACGGCCAUUGAUACUGCAGGACUUGAAUUAUUGGGAAGUAACUAGAAUAUGUAGUGUAGCGGUGAAAUGCUUAGAGAUUACAUGGAAUACCAAUUGCGAAGGCAGGUUACUACCAAUUGAUUGACGCUGAUGGACGAAAGCGUGGGUAGCGAACAGGAUUAGAUACCCCAGUAGUCCCUGUCUCUUAUAA